AAGGACAAUCUGCCUUGCAGCACGUUUAUGGAUGAUAUGGAGUUCCCCUGCAAUGAAUAUGUGAACACUCUGUUCUUCAGGAUGGCACUUGGGAUGAUGUGGAGCUUUUGUUUCCCUGAAGACUUUUGCCGUCUCAACUGGCUUGCUCAAGAAACUUCAGUAUUUUCAUAUUUUCAGGUUACUAGAGAGGAUUCAGCAAACAAGCUUUUUAACUGGUUGGAUAUUUGCAAGUUUUCUACUUAUGGGGGUGGAGGGAGGGACAUCUCCCUGGACUCUUCUAAAUUUAUUGUUCUUUACCUUGUUUUCCAGGAUCCUAAGAUCCUACUGAAACAGUAAUAGGUAUUUACAACUCAUCCUAAAUAUUUCAGAAUGCCUAAUGUAUACUAUAUAUUUAUCUCGUGAUAAUACAACACUGUUCUACAAAAAUAUCAGAGUGGUGUGUUUUUGAGUGGAAUUGUACAACUCAAUAGAUUCACAAUAUACAGCUCAUGCUAAUCAUAAAUUAAUAAUAAAGUAAUGUUAAAAGUUCUUGUAGAAGUUUUGGUAAUCACUGAUCAGAUAAUGCUCUCCCUCCCCAUCAUGACUAGGUAAAACUAGUUUACGUGCCUGAGGUUUUGCUCUAUGAAGGCCUGUUUUCCCAUUAGAUAGAAUAUCCAAUUAUUUUGUCUCUUAUAGGGACGUUUUUGAUUUAUCGGAGAAAAUCAUUUAAGUUGACAACUUUUAAAAACUCAGACCAUUUCAAAGUAUGUCAGACACUGCACGUACCCCCUACCUCCAUUUCCCUUGAAGUGGGGCAUACAUGGUUUUCUUGACAGCAGCGAAGCUUGUGCUUGGGCAGAAUGUGACAUUGCUGAUUCCCCAUCUUUUAUAGUCUCUGAGGGGGAUGUGUUUGGGACAGGAACAUACCAGGGAUAUUUUUUUUAAGUAAAUGUGUCAUGAAAUCUGUUGUGACAGAUUUUAAACAAGUCCUUGUAACUGGGCAAAGUGAAAUGACAGCACAGGGAGACUGGACAGAAACACAUCAACCCGGCAAGUUUCUUGAUUUCUGUUGCCUUUGUCUCUCCCGCUGUGUUGAAAUGCUCCUCCCGUGGAGCUGGUGAUGCAUAGUGGAAGGUCUCUGGCACUCCAAAGCAAAUAUCCUCCACCAGCUUCCAGCUCCUAACUAAGAGGCAAUUACAACCCUUCUUUCCUGGGAGGUGUCAGUCAUGAAGGCAAAGGAGCCUUUGGAGGUAGGCUGGAGUGUGUCAGUCAGUCAAAGAGUAAACUCUGGCAUUGAACAAAUGGUGUGUUCCUGCAUGCAGUGCCAGCAGGCAGCUUCUGGCUACAAACUCUUUUGCGGAGAUAAAAGCCUUCCUACUGGAGUUCUAGCGGUUCUAAAUAUUUCAUGCCUGUGCUUGAACAAAAAGUUGCCAUGGGAAGGCAGACUUGAAGAUGUAUUAUCAGCUUGGUAUUUUCCAAGUUAAAGAUUCUCACUACCUUGUCCUUCUUUGCCCCGUUUCCACCCAAGUCAGAAACUCCAGUUGCAAGCAUUCUUUACAAAUUACGAUUUUUAUCUUAUGUGUCUUCUCUACUGAAAUCUGUUGGUUCUGCCUAUGAGUUCUGCUAAAGAUAUCACACACUCUAAUAGGAGAGGAAGCAGAAGCUGCUUUAUUCUAUGAUGUGGUUAGAAGUAUUUGUGGUAAUCCAGUUGUAUUAGUGAUCUGUUGUUGGGAAACUAUCCCAAAACUAAGUAGUUAAAAAAAUAAUGAGUAUUUAUUACCUCUCACAGUUACUGUGGCUUAGGAAGUCAGAUAGGGCACAGUGGAGAUAUCUUUGUUCCCUGGUGUCUGGCCUCAGAUGAAAUGUUUGAAAGCUAGGGGCUGGUGUCAUCUGAAGAUUUAUUUUCUUGCAUGUCUAGCAGUGGAUACUGGCUUUCAGCUUGGAGCCUAGCUGGGCUGAACUUGUAGCUGUGGCUUCCUCAAAAUAGGUUGGCUAGAUUUCAAGGACAAGUGUACUAAGACAUAUUAAUUUUUAUGACUUGCAGAAGUCACUCAGGGUCACUUGUGCUCAUUUUAUUGGUUAAUGCAGUUAUAGAGGUUUGCCCAAGUUCUAGGGGACUGCCCUAUGGAGGGAUGUCAGCAACAUAUUGUAAGAAGAGCAUGCGAAAUGAAACACAUAUUGGUAUGGUCUUCUUUGGAGAAUGUAAUCUAUUUCUAGUGUAUAGUUGAGAAAAGUUUAGACUAGCUAGUGCUUUGGGAAUAAUGUCUAUGCUUCAUAGUUAUUUGGCUAUGUAAUUUAUGAACUAAUGGAAACUGUUCAGUUGUCACAUUCUGGCAGAUCCAGGUAGUGAUUUGUAAUAUUUCAGUUGCUUUUAUAUUUAAUAUUUAUUUUAAGUAUCACUUAAAGUACGGUCAGUCAGGAAAUCUCACCCUCACAUUAUGCAUGAAGAUGCUGAUGCUCAGAGAAGUAUAGAUAUCUUAAAGUAUAGAUAUCACCCAGUUAUUUAAUCGCAGCUUUGGGACUAGAACACAGCUUCUCUAAUGCCUUGAUCUUUUCAUCAGAACUUAUAACACCUACAAUUUGUAGCAUCCUCAACAAAUGAGGAUUUAUUGAGUAAUUUUCAUGGUGGAGGCACAGAGGUGGAUACUGAGCUUAUAAAGAUGAAUAUAACCAUAGUUCCCACCUUUAUGGAAUGUAUGGUCAAAUGGAAAAGAUAAACACAUAAAUGCAAAUGUUCAAAAGAGUGGGACAAUUGCAGAGAUGAAAGUAGGCAAAGGUGCUAUUUGAGCACAGAGGGAACUACUUGUUUCAUUUUGGGGUUUAGGGAUGACUUUUUUGGGGAACAAUAUUUAAGCCUAAAUUUUCAUUGCUCAGCUCACUAGACAGCUGUCUGGAAACAGCCCACUGGACACUUAAAUUUUAACAUAUAUAUUUUAAAAUAAUAUUUGUUUUACCUGAAAUAUGGUAUGGCAAUUCCUUUUUACUUUUGUCUUCCAAUAAAGUUACACAUUUCUAAAAUCUUAAUGAUAUGUAUGUCUUAUUUGUUGUUCUUUGGUAUAGUAUUAUUAUUAAAUAUUGUGGUUUCUGAUUGGUUAUUGCUGGUAUAUAAGACUUCCAGUGUCUUUCCAAAAGAACAGAUCUUUUACAGUGAUCCUGCUGUGCUUUUUCUAGCUUCUUGAAUAGGAUGCGUAGCUUACUGAUUUUCAACUUUCCUUCUUUCCUCAUGUAUGCAUUUAAUGCUAUGUAUUCCCUUUUAUUAUGACUGUUGCUAUGUUCCACAAGAUAGAUAUUUAUGUUUUCAUUUUUUCUCAGUUCUGUAUGAUGUAAUUUUUAUUAUGAAUUUUUCCUGAAAACAUGUAUAAAAUGUAUAUUUUACAAGAGUAUAUUUUAAUGUCUGG
rnacentral:lncRNA from 1 species